rnacentral:lncRNA from 1 species
GUGAAAUGCUGUUCUCCACGCAGAGCACAGACCCUGGGAGUGUUGGGUAUUGCCACCUGCCAAAGGCCUGAAGUGUGCACUACUGUUGUGCUGGUGGUGGGAUUGUCAGAAGAUGAGGAGGCCAUCCUGAUAGAGACAGUGUAGGAAUCCCAGAAACAACAGGCCAUGUUGCUGCACGUGGCUAACCAUCGUUGAUUUUGCAUGUCAGUUUCUAAGCCAGUAAGGAGUGCAGAUAAAAACUGUCACCAGAGGUAAUCCUGAACCUUGGUUGUACACCAGCACUGUAGUUGGCUUUAUCUCCCAUGCAGACACUCAGUCUCCCUCAGCACACCCUCUUACUGUCCAGGAAUUUUCUUAGCUAUACAAAUAACACACUGGGUUGUUACAGGUGGAAUGACCUAGCUCAAUCCUUUGUUCUCUUACAUUCUGUCCCUGUCCUCUUUUUAGAUAUCACCAACUAUGACUCUGACAUCCAAUGAAGCAGUCGAGGGCCAUGAGGCUUUUCUGACUGAGGCAACACAGCCUGGAGCCCAAAUCCCGAGGCUGUGCACCAAAGUCCUUCCCUGUUUGUCACUGGUGAGCACAGGCUGACCUGAAAGUCUGGACCUGAUCUCUCAGUGAAGGCAAAACCGCUUGACCUCUGAUUUUGAACUGCAAUUGUAGCUAAUGCUGCUAUUGAUUUAAAAAUCUAGUUCAAUAUGUGAAAAAAUACACUCUUCAAUCUCCUGGAACAUUCUGUCUCAGAGAGGACCGUGUC